UCAUACGCCAAAUCCUUGAAUGCUCAGUCAUUUGAUUUGGGUAUUAUGAUUCUUACUUUUUAAUAGGAAGAUCUGAUGC
rnacentral:snoRNA from 1 species